UUUGAGCUAUUGACUUUGUCUAUGUCUACUGACGAGGAGGCAAAGAAUAAAGCUCGGCUUUCCAGAUUUGCUCCAUUUUCAUAGAGUACCCUUUGAUUCAAUAAGAAGCUAUAAGUCUUAUGUUCAAUCAAGCUAUUAUCCAUUUAACCAAUUGGACAAGCCGAGCUCUUAACCAAUAACCAUUUAGUUCCUCGUAUCCUGAACCUUUUUAGUUGAAGGAUGCGGCCAUUUCUUUUGUUUGAAAUGUAUAAUAUUGGACUCCAUUAGACGGAGGUGAGGUUUAAAAAUGUCCAGAACUGUUCUCUCUUCAUCAAAAUUGAAGGGUCCACUAAAAUUAUUUAGACUAUCAUUAUCCUCGUUUUUCCAAUUCUCAAGCAAGCUCUUUUGAGUUUGAUCCAAGUAAAAUGGUAGGAAGGGGGAUGUACCUGUUGUUCAGUAAUCAAUCUAGAGUGUAUAAUGCCUGAUUCUGUUUUCGGGAAGUACACGAUUCUAUGGAAAGCAUGACAGUGGCCUCAAAGAAGUUCAAAUUGAUUUUGUCGCUGAUUUGCUUCGUUCUCCAUAUUUACACACUGAAAUCUUGAUGCAUAGUAUUACUAUUGUCAUCCAGGGCCUUUUUUUGAGUCGGGGAAUAAGAUGUGACAACAUGAGGAGGUGAUCAAUUGAAAAUCAGAGGCUUCCAUAAUUCUAAGAACGCAUGUAUAUCACCUGUUGCUUCUUCCUCUAUCCCCAUAGCAGUUACUAGCACAAGGUCUCUGCCCUCAUCAUUUUGCUGCUCUGGUUGUUAUACUUGAAAAAGUAUGAAAUGGCAGGGCUCUUUGGUCAUGAUCGAGAAUGGCAGACGGAGCCCAUAAGUGUUUAGGAUUGCUUCAAGGACCUUGUGACUGCUUAUGCUCUGCUAGGAAUUUUCUGACGAAGGGAGACCUCCUCUGAUUGACAAGGAACAAGGAGAGGGCCUACCAUUGAUCAAAUGAGGAUCUAAGAACACAACUACAACAGAAAUGUCAUCGUGAAAAUGCCUUCUCACACCUCUAUCUAUCUUUUUCAGUUUCCACCAAGUUGAACCAUAAAUUCAAGACAACUUUGGCAACGAAUAUG